UACGUAGGGUGCGAGCGUUGUCCGGAAUUAUUGGGCGUAAAGAGCUCGUAGGCGGUUUGUCGCGUCGGCCGUGAAAACUUGGGGCUUAACCCCAAGCCUGCGGUCGAUACGGGCAGGCUGGAGGCAGGUAGGGGAGAUCGGAAUUCCUGGUGUAGCGGUGGAAAUGACGCAGAUAUCAGGAGGAACACCGGUGGCGAAGGCGGAUCUCUGGGCCUUGCCUGACGCUGAGGCGCGAAAGCUAGGGGAGCGAACAGG
rnacentral:rRNA from 1 species